UCUCGUCGCGCGACGAGUCGUGCCUGCAUCAUCCUUCGAUCCUCGCGUUCCACUUAGCCCGUCCAAGGACUCUCGUCUCCGUCUCUUGUUCUCUUUUCAUCCCGGUGUCGCGUCCGUCCAACAAUUCCUACGCCCACCUUCGGCGAACGGAUUAACCCCUCGGCCGAACGAACGAGCACCCAGCAUGCACCCAGAAUGAAUUCUGAUCGACCAGCUGCGAGACUCGAGAUAUCCCUCGGAUCGAACCGAAUUUCCGAUUUGCCGGCAAACUCGGAAGAUCAAGGCGAGACGAAGCGACGAAGGCGUUCGUUUUCAGCUGUAGAAUGAGCGAUGUUUGUUACGUCGUGGGCGAAGAAUAUACCGGGAUGUACGAAGUGGAACAAUAAAGUAUUUGAGAAGGAAGGUUGUUGUUAGAAUUUAUUUUUGCAGCCGAAACCAAAGAGAAUCUACCGAAGAGAAUCCAAUAGAGUGCAACAGUGUACAAGAGAAUCCGACAGAAUCUAAUAAAAUCCAAGAUAAUCCAAUGAAGUACAACAGAACGUAAUAAUAUUCAAUGAAAUUUAACAGUGUCCAACAGAAUUCGAUAUAAUCGAACAAAAGGCAACAAUAUUCGAUAAAAUCCAACAGUGUCCAGCAGAAUCCAAUAAAAUCCAACAAAAGGCAACAAU